GAAAUAAAUAAGUGGACAAGACAAAAGCAGUGUGCCGACACUGCAGAACAGCGGUCGGAUUUUGGCUGGAAGAUGGGCGGGGAGCACCGGGAGCUGGUGACAUAGGGAGCACCUUUACACCAUUCAUCUGCACACACUCCCCACACCACAGUGACACAGACCUGGUUAAAAAUUGGCAAACUAUCCCUGUGCAUCUCCAUGACAUCUGAGCCAUCCAUUGAUGAGGAGCAUGUGACGUGAUUUUAAGUGCCAGAAAAGCUAAUAAUAUCAUAUUCAAAGUCAAAAAGGUAGACUGUGUGAACAUAGCCGUGAUUUUACAGUUUGUGGUGUUGGAUUGCUCUGUACUGCAAAAUGAUCUGUAUAAACAGCCUUCAAAUGAUUAAAUCAACUCCUCUGUGGUUGUAAACAUUUUAUAAGCAUCAGGUUGUGUUGUCGCAUGGUUGUACUAUUAUUGCAUUAAACUGUAGAGGUGUUGAGUUAUUUUGUCCACAGUCUGUACUUCCUGCUGUGUUUA